AUUGAACGCUGGCGGCAGGCCUAACACAUGCAAGUCGAGCGGCAGCGGGAAGUAGCUUGCUACUUUGCCGGCGAGCGGCGGACGGGUGAGUAAUGUCUGGGGAUCUGCCUGAUGGAGGGGGAUAACUACUGGAAACGGUAGCUAAUACCGCAUAACGUCGCAAGACCAAAGCGGGGGACCUUCGGGCCUCGCGCCAUCAGAUGAACCCAGAUGGGAUUAGCUAGUAGGUGGGGUAAUGGCUCACCUAGGCGACGAUCCCUAGCUGGUCUGAGAGGAUGACCAGCCACACUGGAACUGAGACACGGUCCAGACUCCUACGGGAGGCAGCAGUGGGGAAUAUUGCACAAUGGGCGCAAGCCUGAUGCAGCCAUGCCGCGUGUAUGAAGAAGGCCUUCGGGUUGUAAAGUACUUUCAGCGAGGAGGAAGGCAGUAAGGUUAAUAACCUUGCUGAUUGACGUUACUCGCAGAAGAAGCACCGGCUAACUCCGUG
rnacentral:rRNA from 1 species